UACGUAGGGAGCAAGCGUUGUUCGGAGUUAUUGGGCGUAAAGAGCGUGUAGGCGGCCAUGCAGGUCCGUUGUGAAAACUCGAGGCUCAACCUCGAGACGCCGGUGGAAACCGUAUGGCUAGAGUCCGGAAGAGGAGAGUGGAAUUCCUGGUGUAGCGGUGAAAUGCGCAGAUAUCAGGAAGAACACCCGUGGCGAAGGCGGCUCUCUGGGACGUGACUGACGCUGAGACGCGAAAGCGUGGGGAGCAAACAGG
rnacentral:rRNA from 1 species